rnacentral:rRNA from 1 species
GAACCGACGUCGCGUCGUGUCACCAGAUGGGUUUUCUUCUUAGACAUGACGGUGACUCGAGUCGACGUAUAUACGCUACGGAACCACGAGGGAGGUGGUUUAAUUAUAAAAAGUAAAAGGGGGUGAGGUCUUUCGUCGUCGUGAGUGACAGCGGUAGUGGCAGCGACAGUCCACCGGGGGUGGCGUAGUGGCUUUUCUCCUUCUCGUCUAUAGUAGUAGUGGGUUUACCGUAUAUAUUUGGGGAAGUGGACGGAAGGACGGUUAAUAAAAAGAAGGUCCAAGGUCGCUGGCAGCCGGGGGCCUACAAAGGAGAUAAUCGUUAGGCGGGGAGUCUUCAAAGCCGGAGCAGUGGGCAGGUCACUAGUCACACGCACGCGCCUUUUCAUUAUCGUCGGUCCAGGGAGGCCACUAAUGGUGGACAGUGACCGGGCGAGCUGAGGGGAUUGGGGUUAGGGUUAGGGUCGGGGUCGGGAGGUGCGCACGCACGCGGCCGCUACGGCUGCGGCCACCGGCGCCGCGCCGUCACGGAGAGCGGCCGGCGGCAGUGGCGGGAGCUGCGCCGGCAGCAGAGGCGCGCGGCGGCGCGGGUGCGCGUCUGUUGGAGCGAGGUGGAGUAGAGGCGGGACGAGCGGGGAGGGCGGGGCGGCGAGGAGGCGCUGCGCGAGCGCGCCCGUGCGUCGCGGCGGAUGCGGGGCGCGCAGGUCGAGUUCCGCGAGCUCGAGACGAAGCGCCAGAGCGAGCUGUCCGAGGGGAGGCGGAGGAGACGGAGACCGCGGCUGCUGCGCCUCGGCGGGCAGAGGUUGAGCGAGUACCGCCGGCAGUUCGCGAGCGUCCGGUUGGUCGCGGCGUUGGGCCUGUGGAAGGUAAAGAUGGUGGUCCGCCGGUGGCGCGUCCGGGGGCGGCGGCAGUUCCAGCUCGAGAGCGUCGAGCACGAGCGGUAGGAGCUGCUGGGGGAGCAGUCGGCGCAGAAGCCGCUGCGCCCGAAGGUGUCGCCGCUGUAGUUCGAGCGGUAGGAGGCGGGACGCGGCGGGUACGGGUACGAGCCGGCGGAGGGGUGCGCCUCGGCGGGCGGCGGAGAGAAGGAGACGUCGAAGCGGCGGCGGCUGCUGCGGCUGCACGGAAGCGGUCGACGUCCCUCGGAGCGGCCGCCGUGGCCCCUCCUCUUGAAGGCGGCGUAGCCGCUCCAGGAGCGGGCUCCGGCGUUGGGGUACGAGCAGCCGCAGCCCCGGCGGAGGCGGCGACGGCUGAAGCGGCGGGAGAGCGGCAUGGCACAGGAGGGGCAGCCAGGUUCGAGGUAGCUGGUCUGCCUCGAGCCGCACCGCCGGCGGUACCGUUCGCGGUGGAGGCCGGAGUACUAUUCGUAGCCACUGGAGUUUCUUGACCAGGGGUUGCUGCCGCUCGAGGUCCUCUACCCCGCGGCCCACCACCGCCUCCACUGCGCUCACGACCUCUGCGUGUCUCGACCGGCACAGACCCACUACCCGACCAGCCGGUGCAUGCUCUGGAUGGAGUGGAAGAACAGGUUUAAGGGGAACGAGCUGUUCCUAACCCUCGAGGUCGACGACGGCUAGUGCCGUCACGCGCGGCCUCCGUCGGGGCGACGCGAGUAGGGAGUCCGUUGGUGGCGGCGCCGAAAGAGGUUCGGACGUUCGAAAUACCUACGCGAGGAAGGAAAACCCCCUGAACAGUCGCUAUGGAUGCUUCGAUUGUCGGAGUGUCGUUUAAGAACAGGAGGCCGGGAAGCCACAGUUGUCACGUUACUAUCUAUGCUCGUUCUUCAACGAUGAUAGUAAUCUCCUUCACCGUAAUGUCGACUUCUGGUAGUGGUCCCUCCAGAUGGAAGCGACGACGUCUUACCGUCGUGCUAUCCACGAUUGUUACCUAAACUACGUCAGUUCAAAAAGAAGUCACGUCCAAUCUCUAGUCUACCAUAACUUAAGUUUUUAUAGCUUAGAUGUCUUCUUCACCUUGCUCAUGACGGACGCCGAGGUGGUUCCGACGGUAUCCUAGUUGUCACAAGGUAUGGUCAAUAAAGGCGUAAUAUAACCACAAGGUCGGUUACCCCUUUCUCGUCUUUUAGACUCGUUUCCAAGACUUAGUCAACGUGAAGUUUCCCUCCAAUAAUCUGGAAGACAUCACAGACAAGGUGUAUGGUUACGAUGGUGUUUCUCAUAAAGUGGGGGUAGAUAGAGAUUGGUUUCCUUACUGUUGGAAUGUAACCUCGAAGUUCGACCCAAAAGUUUCUCACUACUUUUCGUCAGGGUUGUACUUUGGGACAGUAUGACAGUACUAGUAGUGCUUCUAGUGCACAGUGGUAGUAGACGGCAUAGACACCGUUGACUGAACCAAAAUCCGUGCGGAGUACUUAGAAGAAGGUUCCCGUGUUUAAGACGGUCGACGUUUGUACAUCGACUACGUCUCUAUAGACAUGGGUUCUUUCAACUAUUAAACUUAGACUUCGGAGGCGUCUAGAAACGCGUUGGGAAACGAACAAGGUUCUCAAGGUGUUUAUACCCCGUUUGUAGUGGAUCACGAGUCGUAAGUCGUCGAAGACCUCCAAACAGACGAAAACCAGUAACCGUCUUUGGAAGUGUGGAGCGUCGUGUUCCAAGACUAAACUCAUUAAUGUUCGAUGAACACCUUGCGAACAAGGUCCAACAACCUUCCGUCCUCCUUCGGAACUCACGAUAAACACCAAGGUAACACGCCACGUUCAGUUACCUCUCCGCGGCACCACGUUCGUCCUUCUUACUGUACACCAAAUCGAAAGUACCAAGACUAACGUACCGGUUUGCGUCUCAACGAAACCGCGAACGUCUCGAGCAUGUACCGUCGUUUCUCUUGUACUAAAUAGACCUGGACUCAGAGUUCCUAACCCGACUGAGUUCAAUGUCUCCUUUCUGACCGUGACUGAUAUAACAACUGCUCGACUCGUUCUUUGCCGCUAGACAGUAGAAGGAACUAUUACAGCUAUUUCGACUGACGGAAGAGGUCCUGUGAGACUGAGUACGGUCAUUCUGACCAUCUAAGGCUCUGAACGCACCGUUCCUUCAACUGUAAUUACUGAGGUAACAACACGACAGUUGUUCUUGUUGGUCUCCGAGGUUUUCGCACAGACAACCUUACCUUCUCCCAGAAUGAAAGUGACUUCUAUUCUAGGACCGUCGAUCACCUGUAGUUGACUUCUAGGACCAUCUUAGUACAUGCCGCUAGUGGCCACUUCCGGUGCCACUAUUCCACUAUCAAAGGGGGCCCGUGGGAGAUCGGUUUUAAGUACGUAGAAACAUGACACCCCCAAGUCAGUCGUUCGCUUUCAAGUUGUAAAGACUACUGGUUCUUUUCGACGUCGUUCUUAGUGGCUCGUAAAGGUUCGCUGACGUGUCUUGUAGUUCACAAGGCAAGCUGGACUUGGAGGGGUAGCUGCUCCUACCAAGCUCGCUACGACUACUGGUGUCGCCGUCGUUACUGUUGAGUAUACCGUGAGGCCUCUCUAGGUACCUGUCGGAGAACACAAACCAACUGCUCAGGUAGCUAAAGUUCGGUAAGCUGAAACUGUUUCAGCGGCUGAUGCAUGACGUCCUCAACUCGUUAUGUGAGGCGUUUCAAGACCCGAGGCCGACGUGUAACCUUUAACUACAGCCACGUUACCUCGUUUAUUAACGUCGCCGUACCCGUAGUCUCCCGUUCUCCGGAGAGGUCCGGACCGACCUAGUCCACAAGCGACCUUCGGAACCCCUUGACUUCCAGUUCACACCAUUCGUACGGUCGUCAAGGUGAGAAUAUGAUCACCGGACACUCCUGUACCGUCGUCAGUCCCUUCUGUUACCAAAACCUCCAAACGAGAGGAGGUCUUAUUAAGAUCUUACCACUUUACUACCAUAGACAUAUCGCUAUUAACAUUAAUAAAGAUCGAUAAUCAGGUGUUAUCAUAUCGUAAUAAAACGGCCCUUUAUUAAACAUCGUAUCAACUACUACGUAACGGAAGUAUAUAUAGCCGUUCAUAUAUAACUAACAUUGUGAACACCUAAACGGUUAUAUAGUGACAAUAUAUACCACUACGUCUCCAUCUCAUGACUUCAGGUAUUAGUCACCCAUUAAGGUCCAAACCGGUUGAAGAGGACGAUUAAACAUCCAAGUAUAACUUUAUACAUUUACGAUCACCGAGUGUAAGAUGAAUCGUAGAUUCUCAAACCGGUUGAACAAAACGUUGCUUCCAAGUUUAACUUUUAAAAUUCCAAUCACCCGGUUGUAAAGUAUAAAAGUCACAACCCUUAAAACGGUUGAACAAUACGAAUACCACCACAUCCAAGUACAACUUUAAACAUUAUUAAUACGUAUUGGGACAAGGUCGUUAGAUCAAUCAGAUCAUGUGUUUCUACUCAUCGGGUAGACAUGUGAGAUUAAUCGUUCGUAUAUUGAGUCUAGUCUUUUUGCCGCGUCUCGUGAAUUAGACCGAGUGUUUUAAUUACGGGUGAGAGGGUCCGGGCCGCGUAUGUUUGAGGUCUGACUAGUUAUCAGAUUCUUCCAAGUAAUUAAACAAUG